GAUGAACGCUGGCGGCGUGCCUAAUACAUGCAAGUCGAGCGAACAGACGAGGAGCUUGCUCCUCUGACGUUAGCGGCGGACGGGUGAGUAACACGUGGAUAACCUACCUAUAAGACUGGGAUAACUUCGGGAAACCGGAGCUAAUACCGGAUAAUAUAUUGAACCGCAUGGUUCAAUAGUGAAAGACGGUUUUGCUGUCACUUAUAGAUGGAUCCGCGCCGCAUUAGCUAGUUGGUAAGGUAACGGCUUACCAAGGCAACGAUGCGUAGCCGACCUGAGAGGGUGAUCGGCCACACUGGAACUGAGACACGGUCCAGACUCCUACGGGAGGAAGCAGUAGGGAAUCUUACGCAAUGGGCGAAAGCCUGACGGAGCAAAGCCGCGUGAGUGAUGAAGGUCUUAGGAUCGUAAAACUAUGUUAUUAGGGAAGAACAAAUGUGUAAGUAACUAUGCACGUAUUGACGGUACCUAAUCAGAAAGCCACGGCUAACUACGUG
rnacentral:rRNA from 1 species